ACGAACGCUGGCGGCAUGCCUAACACAUGCAAGUCGAACGAGACCUUCGGGUCUAGUGGCGCACGGGUGCGUCACGCGUGGGAACCUGCCCUUAGGUUCGGAAUAACUCCCCGAAAGGGGUGCUAAUACCGGAUAAUGUCUUCGGACCAAAGAUUUAUCGCCUUUGGAUGGGUCCGCGUUGGAUUAGCUAGUUGGUAGGGUAAAAGCCUACCAAGGCGACGAUCCAUAGCUGGCCUGAGAGGAUGAUCAGCCACACUGGGACUGAGACACGGCCCAGACUCCUACGGGAGGCAGCAGUGGGGAAUAUUGGACAAUGGGCGAAAGCCUGAUCCAGCAAUGCCGCGUGAGUGAUGAAGGCCUUAGGGUUGUAAAGCUCUUUUACCCGGGAUGAUAAUGACAGUACCGGGAGAAUAAGCUCCGGCUAACUCCGUG
rnacentral:rRNA from 1 species